AUGUGCUGCACUUGGCUGCAUUUUGAAAGCAUGUUUAGAAGCAUCUUUUGGCCUUUACUCCUCUUCUUUGCUAUCUGCCGCUUGCUUGCUGGAGUGGAGAGGAUGAACUAUGCUGAGGGCUAUGAAGCUGAAGUACCAUGGAAAGCAGAAGGUGCUAUAAGCCCUUUCCCUGGAGAGUGUAACAACACAAUUCUUGCAUAUUCAGGUGGGUCUGAGAUCAGCAGGCUUCGCCAUUAUGAUAGCUCAAUACAUUCAUGGCAUGCAGCUCCUGAGCAAAUGCAGGCUUACACUGAGAAAGGCCCUGCUUCUUCCAGUAUUUUAUUUUAUUUUAUUUUAUUUUAUUUUAUUUUAUUUUAUUUUAUUUUUAUUUUUAUUUAUUUAUUUAUUUAUUUAUUUUGUCUACGAUAUGCUGUGCUUUUGCACCAGCAUUGAAUUGAUGAGAAUUUGAGAAUUUCUCCUCCCUAGGCUCAUACUUUUCCUGCCUUUUUUUGACUUUGUCAUAAGUCAUCCUGGAGACAUUUUAGAGUUGAAGAUCUAGCUUCUCUGUUAAGCCAGGUUACUUUUGAGAUAGACAUUUAUUUUUUUGUUGUGAGUGUGAACAUUCAAGUUCAAAUAAGUUCAAAUACUCUAACCUUUUAUUUAAUACAUAUUUAAGUAUUUUAAACUUAAGCAGCCAUUCCAGAAGUCAUUUUCUUGUCCCUCCCCCCACUCCCUCCCCACUUUUUUUUUUUUUUUUUAUCAGCAUUUGCAGAAGUAGUUUUUGAUUUUGACUUUAGCAAGGAUGUGUCUGGAAAAUUUAUUAACUGUUUCAUGUCCAAAUGAUCUCUUAUACUAGCAAUCAAGCUGUCAAAAUUUUGGGGUGUUUUCUAUGUUAAUGAAUCAUUGCACAGUUCAUAUAGCAUGUUUUAUGGCAUACAUAUCAAAGUAUUUUGUAUAUAUAUAAAUAUAUAUAUAAAUUUAUGCAUAUAAAUUUCAUAAUACAUGUAUAAGCACAUUUAUGUAUGCAUGUGUAUGUUCACGUGUAUGUGCAUAAAACUCGAGUUUAUGAACAGACAUACAGAAAAUGAAUGUCUAGCUUCUAUUUGGAAAUGUAUAAAAUUUUGAUUUAAUGCAUUGCUUGCACCUUAUUAAUGUAAAAUUAUUUGUACUAAUCUCUUACAAAAGUGGUGACAAUUAAAGAAAUUUUCUCAUGACAUAACAUCAGAAGGUGUUGCAAUAUUCUUGGUUUUG
rnacentral:lncRNA from 1 species